rnacentral:rRNA from 1 species
AGGAUAAACGCUGGCGGCGUGCCUAACACAUGCAAGUCGAACGCGCUUGCUAUCCGCGAGGAGGGUGAGCGAGUGGCGGACGGGUGAGGAACACGUGGGUGACCUACCUUUCAGUGAGGGAUACCGGCGAGAAAUUGCCGACAAGACCGCAUACGCUUCUCUUUUCAAGGGGAGAAGGAAAGCUUUUCGCAAGAGAGGCGCUGGGAGAUGGGCCUGCGGCCGAUUAGCUAGCUGGUGGGGUAAUGGCCUACCAGGGCGACGAUCGGUAGCUGGUCUGAGAGGACGAUCAGCCACACUGGGAUUGAGAACGGCCCAGACUCCUACGGGGGGCAGCAGUGAGGAAUUUUCGGCAAUGGGGGCAACCCUGACCGAGCAACGCCGCGUGCAGGACGACGGCCUUCGGGUUGUAAACUGCUUUUCUCUGGGACGAGCAAGGACGGUACCAGAGGAGGAAGCCCCGGCUAACUACGUGCCAGCAGCCGCGGU